GACGAACGCUGGCGGCGUGCUUAACACAUGCAAGUCGAACGGAAAGGCCCUGCUUGUGUGGGGUGCUCGAGUGGCGAACGGGUGAGUAACACGUGAGUAACCUGCCCUGGACUUUGGGAUAACUUCAGGAAACUGGGGCUAAUACCGGAUAGGAGCUCCUGCUGCAUGGUGGGGGUUGGAAAGUUUCGGCGGUUGGGGAUGGACUCGCGGCUUAUCAGCUUGUUGGUGGGGUAGUGGCUUACCAAGGCUUGGACGGGUAGCCGGCCUGAGAGGGUGACCGGCCACAAUGGGACUGAGAUACGGACCAGACUCCUACGGGAGGCAGCAGUGGGGAAUAUUGCACAAUGGGCGGAAGCCUGAUGCAGCAACGCCGCGUGCGGGAUGACGGCCUUCGGGUUGUAAACCGCUUUCGCCUGUGACGAAGCGUGAGUGACGGUAAUGGGUAAAGAAGCACCGGCUAACUACGUG
rnacentral:rRNA from 1 species